rnacentral:rRNA from 1 species
UACGAAGGGGGCUAGCGUUGUUCAGAGUUACUGGGCGUAAAGGGCGCGUAGGCGGCGCACCAAGUCAGGCGUGAAAGCCCUGGGCUCAACCCGGGAAUUGCGCUUGAGACUGGUGUGCUUGAGUACGGGAGAGGAUAGUGGAAUUCCCAGUGUAGAGGUGAAAUUCGUAGAUAUUGGGAAGAACACCGGUGGCGAAGGCGGCUAUCUGGACCGUAACUGACGCUGAGGCGCGGAAAGCGUGGGGAG